ACAACUCCCGGGAUCGGCUCUGCAGAGGGAUCGAAUCUUCUACAAGAGCAUUGAUUUUUUGUGCGGCAUUACAAGCAGAGACUGAGCUUUCAUUGAUUCUGUAGUAGAGGCUGUUUAUUACUCACGGCAGGCUGACAUUGCAUUGUCUUCAGACUACAUGGCCUUAUCCUCAGAAUAUCGGCAUUCCAUAUUCUGUGUCAUCAAGGGAGUUUAUCAAACAUAAAUUAAGAAACAUUUCGGAUUCUUCAAAAUGCCAAUGAAGGACAUGUCACCUUCAGGGUUUGUAUACCUAUUUCAGCAUUGCAUUUAAGUCAUUUUUGCUAGAUACCGAUUUAGGAUUGCUGAUGGCAGAGGUUUAUUCUGUAAGAGUAUAUCCUUUACAAUCUGUUCUUUAGCAGGAAAUGCAACAGUGAGGUUCACUCUACAGCAGCAGAUUGUGUUUUAUCUGGCUUUCUCUCUUGUGAAAAUAGGCAUAUAAAACAAUAUGUUGCACUAUAUAGAUCAAAAGAUGUUGGGUGCUCAUUUUUUGCAGGUGUUGGUAUUGUUGCACCGACCAGGUAAUGUCACCUGUUCUAGAUGUACAUGGAUUGAUUGUGAGCAGUAUAGAUUAAUUUUUUAAAGUGGCUGAAGAAAUCUUUACUUUAGAAGAUUUUAUUUGUCAUUUUCUACAAAAACCUAGGAAGUUGUGUUGAUCAAAUUAAAAAGUUUCAAUAGAUUAAACAAACAGAAAGAAAUUGACAGAGCACUGUGUCUAUGUUGUCGUGCCCUUCAGUUCAUUUAUCUAAGUGUUAAAAAUAGGUUUGGAGAAAUACUAAUGAAUCAUCCAAAGAAAAAAUGUCAUAUUUUCCAUUAAGGUUACUUUUACAGAAUUUGGUGUAUUUUAGUGAGAAUCCAUUCACAAAGAUAAGUUUCCCAUAUAAAUGGGUUUAUUAUCAGUCAACCUUUUAAUGUUAACCCCGUUCCCCAGAUAAAUCCCAUUGAAUUUAGAAUAAAUGUCCACUUUAAUAUGAGCUGUUAUGGUAAAUCUUUGUUGCCUCAUUUGCUCAGCAUCCAUAACCAUUUCAUGGGGAUCUUCACUCUUGUGAUUUACUGUCUCGCCAAACAAUUAGAACUUAGAAAUUCUCCUUGUGACAUGUAACCUAUUGUACACAAGUUAAAGUGUCAUUUAAUUCAAUUUAUUUUUAUUACCAUCUCAAUUUUAAAUCAAAAUCCAUAAAACUGUAUAAGUUUCAAUUUUUUUUAACCCAUUUACAAAUUUGAUUGGGGGGCAGUGGGUGUAGGGUAGAUGUAAUCAUGUAAGAUUCCUAUUAUGUCAAAAGUUAUGAUCAGCUAUUUCAGGUCGCUUGCUCUUUUACCUGGUAAUAUGAUAUGUACAUGAGUAUAGCAGGGACUACCUGUUGAUAAGCAUUGCAGGUGUAAACAAGACAGGGGAUGUAAAUUCUGAUAGCGUGGACUGCAGUGUCUCGAGCCCUGCUGAGUCCCUCAGUGGACUCUGAUGGGAAAUCUCACACUUGUGGACUCAAAUUUGUUUUUUCGAGGAUUCUAUUUCAGACCCCACCUUUGCCAGGGGCUUUAGACAGUUGUAAAUUUUUUCCCACUUGAAGGUUUAAAAAAUCAGUAGGUCAUUUGUAAAACAUGAAAACUAUGUCAAAGGUGACAACAAAAAUUACAUGUAUGUCCUUAUAAUGUACAUGGUAGUUUUAUUGGUAACUCUGACCUUCAGACUGUUUGGUCAAGAGGUCACAGAAUUACCGGUACUUAUAGAGGACACAGUAUUACUCUAGAGGCCACAGUCAAAUUUCUACUUUUAACAUAUUAAUUAACAAAAAUUUAAUGGUUACAAAAAGGUUAAUAAAUCAAAUAAAAGAUAAUCCAUAUCAUGUCCUGUGUGAUUUACAUGUAUGUAUUUAUAUGAUAAGUGCAAGUUACUUUUAGAUGUUCAUGAUUGUGUCAAUUAGACUAAUUAAACAUUAUUAAGCUAUAUAACUGAAUAAUGAAAUGCUAAUUACAGUGUUUCUUAUCUAUAAUAAAGUUUUU
rnacentral:sRNA from 1 species